AAAAUCUCGUGGAGGACCGAACCACGUUGGUGUUGAAAAACCAUGGGAUGAGCUGUGGAUAGCGGAGAAAUUCCAAUCGAACUCGGAGAUAGCUGGUUCUCCUCGAAAUAGCUUUAGGGCUAGCGUCGUGUAAUUGAGUAAUGGAGGUAGAGCACUGAAUGGGCUAGGGGCUAUAGUAGUUACCGAACCCUAUCAAACUCCGAAUGCCAUAUACUUGUAUCACGGCAGUCAGACUGCGAAUGAUAAGAUCCGUAGUCAAAAGGGAAACAGCCCAGACCAUCAGCUAAGGUCCCAAAGUGUAAGUUAAGUGGAAAAGGAUGUGGGAUUUCUAAGACAACUAGGAUGUUGGCUUAGAAGCAGCCACUCAUUUAAAGAGUGCGUAAUAGCUCACUAGUCAAGAGAUCCUGCGCCGAAGAUGUCCGGGGCUCAAACUUACCACCGAAGCUAUGGGUGUACACUAUGUGUACGCGGUAGAGGAGCUUUCUGUAUGGGUUGAAGUCGUACCGUAAGGAGCGGUGGACUGUACAGAAGUGAGAAUGCUGGCAUAAGUAGCGAGAAAUAAGUGAGAAUCUUAUUGGCCGAAAACCUAAGGUUUCCUGAGGAAGGUUCGUCCGCUCAGGGUUAGUCGGGACCUAAGCCGAGGCCGAAAGGCGUAGGUGAUGGACAAUCGGUUGAUAUUCCGAUACCACCUAUUUACGUUUGAGAAAUGGGGUGACGCAGUAGGAUAAGAUGUGCGCACUAUUGGAUGUGCGUCUAAGCACUUAGGCAUGCUUGAUAGGCAAAUCCGUCGAGCUAAGCUGAGGUGUGAUGGGGAGCCAUUUAUGGCGAAGUAUCUGAUUCCACACUGCCAAGAAAAGCCUCUAUCGAGUGAAUAGGUGCCCGUACCGCAAACCGACACAGGUAGGUGAGGAGAGAAUCCUAAGGCCAUCGGAAGAAUUGCUGUUAAGGAACUCGGCAAAUUGACCCCGUAACUUCGGGAGAAGGGGUGCCUACGAAAGUAGGCCGCAGAGAAUAGGCCCAAGCAACUGUUUAGCAAAAACACAGGUCUCUGCUAAAGCGAAAGCUGAUGUAUAGGGGCUGACGCCUGCCCGGUGCUGGAAGGUUAAGGGGAACACUUAGCGUAAGCGAAGGUGUGAACUUAAGCCCCAGUAAACGGCGGCCGUAACUAUAACGGUCCUAAGGUAGCGAAAUUCCUUGUCGGGUAAGUUCCGACCCGCACGAAUGGCGUAAUGAUUUGGGCACUGUCUCAACAGCAAAUCCGGCGAAAUUGUAGUGCAAGUGAAGAUGCUUGCUACCCGCGAUUGGACGGAAAGACCCCGUAGAGCUUUACUGUAGCUUAGCAUUGAAUCUCGGUAUUGUCUGUACAGGAUAGGUGGGAGACUUGGAA
rnacentral:rRNA from 1 species